UACAGAGGUCCCAAGCGUUGUUCGGAUUCACUGGGCGUAAAGGGUGCGUAGGCGGCCGGGUAAGUCUGAUGUGAAAUCCCGCAGCUCAACUGCGGAACUGCAUCGGAUACUCUCCGGCUAGAGGAGUGGAGGGGAGACUGGAAUUCUCGGUGUAGCAGUGAAAUGCGCAGAUAUCAGGAGGAACACCGAUGGCGAAGGCAGGUCUCUGGGCCACUACUGACGCUGAGAAGCGAAAGCAUGGGGAGCGAACAGG
rnacentral:rRNA from 1 species